rnacentral:lncRNA from 1 species
AGAGCCCUAGCUCCAUGCAUGCAAGGGACUCGUGAAAAUGCAGCCAACUUCCUCAAUCUUCCAACCAAGAUUGCUCAUGCUAUGGUUCACCAAAUGAGAUGAUAUAAAAAGCAAAGUUCAAGUGCGAAAUGAGUAGAACACAAUGGUGUCUUGUUUCAUUAAAAAUAGUGACUUGAACAUGAAGAAAAGUGGACAGCAAGAGGGCCUCAUGAACACGGAUACAAC